UAAGCAACAGUUAAAAGUCAAGCUGACACCGGUGGAAUUCUCUGAUGCUAUAGCCUUGCAAAUUCAUACAGGAUCACAAUCACAAGGUGGCCAUGAACUUUGCUCCAUGCCAGAUGUUGCAUCCGCCCUGAAUGGAAAACGGGAGAUAGUUGCCUCCUACCGCCCAGUAUUGAAUAUACUCAUUGGUAGAGUUGUGUUGUUCGAUCAUACUGAAAGUAUUUUUCAGUAUCUUGAUAGGAACAGGAAAGGUUCUUUGGAAAACACGGAUGAAGGAAGAAAAAUAGCAACACUUUCAUUUCAAGACCUAAACAGUGUGACACAUGAUUUAACCGAAACGGAAAUUUCAAUACACACGGAUCUUCAGGAAGUUGAACUAAAAUGGAGAGACGAAAAGAAUAGAGAAAACAAAGAGUUGAAAAUCAUCUUUCCAUGUCUUCAAGAUGACAAAUUUCAUGACUUUAUGGUGUUAGAUCUCCAUGAGAAGCCAGGAAAUUAAAUGCGGCAAUUCAACUAAAUUUCUUAAAGGAAUGACACGGAGUCUUAUCUUAACAGUAUGACUUUUGAUGAUCGCAGCUGCAUUAGUAUUCUUUUUCGACAUAAAGUUUGCUGGAUAGGCUGUGGGAUAUGCAGAGACAGAGUGCAAAUGAGUAGUCCGUUUAACAACGACUCGACCAAGUUCUUUGUAACAUAUAGUUCUCUAAAUAACUUUUAGAAUCAGUUCUUUAUAUGUAACAUAGAUGAUUAUAUAACAUUGAAUCGCUUGUAAAGCAAAGAAUUAAUUCUAUUGAUCAUGAAUAUAGAUGUUAUCGACAAAAUAACUAACUGAUAUGAUUUGUAUUGUUAGUAUAAAUAUAAUUAAUCAAUGAAACUGUAUGUGCUUUUGCUUUUUGAUAUGUUUCAUAAACUGAUGUAAGUCAUUUGUCUGAACAGUGUUUUUUGUUUGUCGUUUUAAUGUUCUGUUUAUGUUGAUGAAAUAUGUAUGGUCGCAUAACCCAUUAUGCACAACUCGUAGAUUGUAUACAUAGCCUUUAUCAAUUUGUAUGUUAAAGUGGUUGGACCUGUUUGUUUUAGUUGAUGGUGGUCUAAAACUGAACACAGCUAGUAAGAGUGGUUUUGUGUUUUGCACUUCUCCGAAAGCAUUGAAUAUCAUCAGCAAUAUAAAAAGAAUUCUCCCUCCAACUGUAUGUAAGUGUUUCUGUCAUAGCUGUAACAUUUUUGGUUUAUUUCUUUUUUUACAUUUUCAUCAAAAAUAUUUCAUCUGAUACAUAUCAAAAAAAGUUUAAUUUUAUAAAGUAUAUCAUCUGACCAAUCGAGUUCUGGUUUCAAAUACCUAAUUUUUACAUAAGCUAUUAAUAUUUAAUGUUGUUCUAGGAAAUUAUUUUUGUUUUGUACCUUUUCGCCAGUUUCAUUAUCAAUAUCUUAGUAAUGAGCUGUGAGUCAAAAUUGUUACAUGCAGAACAGUCAUGCCCAAAUACCCAUAUGUAUUCAUAUGAUAUUCCCUCGAGUUAUAAGAGGUUUGAGCUCAGACUGAGAUUGGUCGCAUUUACAGAAUUUGUGUUAUUGCUAUAUUUAGUUUAUAAGUAUCUGGAUCAGUGUUGCUGUGUUGUUUUUAUAUGUGCAAGGACAUUUUGUGUCGAUAUUCGAAACAUUUUGGCAACAACAGCAUUAAACUUUUGUCAUUCAGUCGUUAACAACCUAAUACUUUCAUUAAUAUAUACAUAGCUUUUGUCUCUGUUCUUUCAUUAUAAUUAUACUUUUGCUGAUUGUGAAUUGCUGUAAUUUGGUCAUUUAAAUGUUCACAUUUUUAAUCAGUUGAGUCUAUUUUGCUGUUUUGUUUUACUUCUAUAAUGAUGUCAUCUUGAGUUUGCUUGUGGAGUGAAUGUAUCAUUUAGAUGUGAGUGCUUCACAGAUCAUAGAAUAAUUUAUUUCAAUGUCGACAGUUUUUUCUCUAACAGAUUGUACUAGGCUAUAUUGUUGAUGAUUAUUUUCCUCUUUUUUUGUUAACGUUUUUUAUCUCCUUAUAUUCAUUUUUAGCUCACCUGAGCAAUGCUCAGGGGAGUUUUUCUGAUCAUUCGAUGUCCGGCGUCCGUCGUCUGUCUGUCGUCUGUCAACAUUUAGCUUGUGUAUGCGAUAGAAGCUGUAUUUUUCAAUUGAUCUUCAUGAAAUUAAGUCAGAAUGAUUGCCUUGAUAAAAUCAAGGUCAAAUUGAAUAUGGGUUAUCUUUGGUCAAAAAUUAGGUCACUAGGUCAAAUCAAAGAAAAACAUUGUGUAUGCAAUAGAGGCUGUAUUUUUCAAUUGAUCUUCAUGAAAAUUGGUCAGAAUUAUUGCCUUGAUGAAAUCUAGAUGAAGUUUGAAUAUGGGUAAUCUGGGGUCAAAAAGUAGGUCACUAGGUCAGAUCAAAGGAAAACCUUGUGUAUGCGAUAGAGGCUGUUUUUUUUUUCAACUGAUCUUCCUGAAAGUAAGUCAGAAUGAUUGCCUUGAUGAAAUCUAGGUAGAAUUUGAAUAUGGGUCAUCUGUAGUCAAAAAGUAGUUCACUAGGUUAAAUCAAUGAAAAACCUCGUGUAUGUGAAAGAGGCUGUAUUUUUCAACUGAUCUUCAUGAAAUUUUGUCAGAAUGAUAGCCUUGAUAAAAUCUAGGUCAAGUUCGAAUAUGGGUCAUCUGGGUUCAAAAAUUAGGUCACUAGGUCAAAUCAAAGAAAAACCUUGUGUAUGCAAUAGAGGCUGUAUUUUUCAAUGAUCUUCAUGAAAUUUGGUCAGAAUAAUAGCCUUGAUGAAAUCUAGGUCAAGUUCGAAUAUGGGUCAUCAGGGGUCAAAAACUAGGACACUAGGUCAAAUCAAAGAAAAUACUUGUUUUUGCUCCAAUUUUAAUGAUAAUUGGUCAGAAUAUUUUUUUCUAUGAAAUCACUAGGUCAAACAUGUUUACACUGUUAUGGUGUAUUAUGGUGUGUUUCUCAGGUGAGCGACCUAGGGCCAUCUUGACCCUCUUGUUUGAAUUGUGUGUGAUAUUAUUUGCUCUGUUUAAUGUGAUUUUAAACAUACACCACUAAAGGUAGAUAUAUAUGUACCUUUUCUAUAAAAGUCGUGAAGGUGUUUGACUUUUUCCCUUACAAUUUCGCUUUGGUUUAAGGGUUAAUGGGAAAGUGGAUACAAAGUGUGAAUAUUUGUAAGAAUUUAGGUGUUGUAUUUGCUUGAUUAUUUAUGUAAGUCAAGUCGCAUUCUUUAUACCGAAAUGUUAGGAAGUGUUACUGUUUUGCUUAAUUCACAUGAUUCCUUUAUAUAUCUUAUUAUUGAAAAUCAUCGAAUGUAUUAUUUUGUAAUGUACAUAUCGAACUUACUACAAUUACCAGUCCGUUUGCUGAUAGUGUGUGUAUGUAAGACUAGUGUUCAGUUUGAUUUUGUUAUAUUAGGGACUUACCUUAAACUUUCUUUACUCAAGGGAAAUAACUUAUUUACACAAAGUAAAUUGAUGUGUGAACUUUGUCUUAUCAGAAGUAUUUCAAUGCAAUGCAAAAGUAAUCUUACUGUAAAACAGGAUGACGCAAUAUUAAGCCAUAUAUAGGUGGCAGAUAUUUUUCUCUUCCCUUUGUAGCUUUGUUAUCAUAUUUGUUCUUGUAGAAUUCUGUGGGUUUAAACCUUUAAAAAUCUUCUGUUUUUUACAUAUUUCACUUCGUUAUACCCAAAUCCAUCUGCAGUAAUUAUGCCUGCUUUUUCCAUGCCUAGAGGUAAAAUACUGCAUACACACCUAAGACCACUAUAAAGUUUAAGUGGAGUUUUCACGUUUUCCAAAAUAUUUUACCCAGGAUUAUUGUUCGGCUCAAAUAACUUUUUUUUCAGAAAAUGACACUUUCAUUUUUUUUUCAAAUUGUGAACUCCGAUGCAGUUAGAUACCCCUAUAUCUUCAAUAAGUACUUGAUACUUGAAGUUUGUAUUUUUAGUUCAAAUGCCUAAUUGUAUACUGUUCUGAUAUUGUAGUUUAUAAAAGUCUUUGACUGGUUGAAGGUAGGGAUGAAAAUAUCUGGCACGAGUGUAAUUGUUUAGGUGGUAAUGAGGCUCUGCCGAGUAACCACAAAACAGUUACCCAAAAGCCUGAUAUUUGCAUCAGCACCUUCAACUAGUGAUAGACUAUUUUUUCUUGCAUGUCGUAUUUCUAAAUAAAUAGAUGAAAUAAAGUAAAACAAAUGCCUUUCUUUUAGGCACUAUUUUGUAGUAAUAGCGAAUGAAUUUAUGUAUUCAUUCAUAAAUUAUUGCGAGUCAUCUUAAACCACCGGGUUGUAAGAUGAGUUUUUCCAGACGAGAAAAUCCUGUCCGGGAUGCACGAAAAGUAUUAAUAUGCGAAUAUAUAUGUAACUUUGUUCGCCAAUGCCGGUAUUAGAAAUAUUUGACUGGCGGUUAUGAAAUGUAGAUAUUUGUUAUGUAUUAAAAUUAAAUAUAUUGGAACGAGUAUAGAUAUGUUACUUUGUACACUGUUGGGAUUUCUGGUUAAAUUUUGAAAAUUACUUGAGAUUUAACUGUAUAAUUCUAAUAUAUUCAUGAUAUUAUGAUUGUGAAUGUACCAUUUUAUUUAAAAUUUACUAAAAUUAGUAUGUCAAUUUUAAUUUAUUUUGCAUUCAAAUUAUGCUCUUGAAAUUUUACCAUUCAUUAAGUUUUCACUUUCUAACCAAAGAUGUAACAACAUUUAUUAUGUUCUGCUAAGUAAUUCCAUGCAUUUUAAGGACAUUUCCUACAAUUUUUCUCUAUGUACAAUGGUUUUUUUUUCAAUUUUACAUAAUUAUAUCUACUUCAACAUUUACUCACUCAAUUUCAGCGAUCAUUAGGGUGUGUCACCAUGCCCGUUUAAGGUACAGACAGGAUAAAUGAAUGACAAAUUUGAAAGUGCAGGUAUUCAAAUAUGAGAACAAAGAACUGAAGCAACUUUGCAUUAAGGAUGUACGAGCGGUUUUUUUUCAGGAUAUCCGCCAUUUUGAAAAAUGUUUCUUCGAAUAUUGCUUUCUAACAAAAGUUUUGCCAAAAACUGAUGCUAAAUAAAAAAAAAAUAUAGCUAAUAAUGUACCAUUUAAUUAAAUAGAUUCUACUUUUUGCGGGUAAAAAAUACACUCUUAUUUUUGGCUGACAUUUGCCUAAAAUUGAAGUUAAAUUUACAAUGGGGUAGGGGUAGGUAAUUUCAAAUAUCUAUUAAAGUACAGGUUAUAUUGCAGUAAUUCGGCCGAAAAUAUGCUUCCGUGGUGUAGUCGAAAGAAGUCCAUAAUAAAUAGAUGUCAAUAAUAAAUAGAUCCUAAUUUUCCCAUUUUUCGCGCAUUUUCGCGUAAAUCGAGGGUUAAAUGGGCAUUAUUUCACUCGUGGAAUUUUACAUAAAAUAAGACAUUUUUCGGCUAAUUUUUGCAUGUUUUCGAGUUGUUUACUUGAAAACGAAAGUAAGGUGUUUAUUCUGCGGACCGCUUUCUGAAAUGCGGCAAUAUGAGGGUACCUGACUUCAGUUGACUUGAUUUCACUGCAUACUAUUCAACACCCCUUUUUCUUUUCGUUUUCUUGAAGCAAAUGUAUGGAUAUCUUGUGGAAAAUAGGUCUACGACGGAGUGAAAAUCUAGAAACUGUAACAAAAUUGUUCCGAAGUAGCUGAAUUUUAUAUGAAACAAAGAACAAUUUCUUUUUUGGUAUAUAGACUACGUCAGGUUUGGUUUUGAUAUUUUCCUGACUGAUACAUAUAAUGAUAAGCUAUAAUUGAAAUAAAAGUUUUUAUGAUAGCACUUUAUAUUAUCUACAAAAUAUAAAUUAAAACAAAAAGAACAAAAAAUAUCAAAAUUCACCAGUUUUUAAGUUUUUUUUUUCCUUAAUAAAUCUCUUAGAUGCACGUUGACCCCAACUUUUUUCUUUCCAUUUUGAAGCACUUUUUUAUGUGUCAUUAAAGCUGCAGAAUAUUUUGAAAAUCUAAAUGUCAGAUUUUUUUGUAGAUCUCAAUACGUUUUCUUUCAUUGGAACUAAAGUGGGUGGGGUAAUUAUGUCAACAUAAAAAGUGUAAAAAUAAGAGAUUUGUUAGAGACAUUUAUGCUUAUAUAAUACUGACAUCACCUAGUAUUCAUAUUAACUUGUAACACCUGAAAUCCCUAUAACAUCAAGUGGGAUGUUAUAUGUUUAAUAAAGUACCACCAUUUUUUUCAAUUUUACAAAAUUUCAGAAAUGCUUAAACAGUGGGUGAAGAAAAUGCCCUAUAAAAUUAAAACGAGUUCGGUGACCUAUGUUGUUUCUUCUCUUGUUUGUCUUGGAAACUAAUGUUCUUCAAGCUCACAGAGUAUGAAAAAAAUCUAAACGUUAGAAAAAAAUCGUUCCUACAUCCUUAAAUGAAUGGCAAAUUAAAUUUGUUGACAACUUUUCUUACAUUUUUACUGUAAUACAUAUAAUAUUACGGAACUUAUACAAAUAAUAACAUAAAUUCUGAAAUUAACAUAAGAAGGUGGGCAUAGUCAAAUCGCACUGUCCGUCCGUGCGUCCGUUCGUGCGUGCGUGUAAAUUCACGUCCGGGCUGUAACUCUGGCAUCCAUGAAGGAUUUAAAAAAAAAAAGCUUAGCAUAAAUGUUCACCAUAAUGCAACGAUGUGUCCUGCGCAAGACCCAGAGCCCUAGAUCCAAGGUCAAGGUCAUAAAUAGAGGACAAAGUUAACAGGGUCUUAUUCUUGUCCGGUCCAUAACUCAGCCAUCCAUGAAGAGAUUUUAAAAACACUUGGCAUAAAUGUUUACCAUAAUGAGGCAAUGUGCCAUGCGCAAGAUGCAGACCCAUAGCUCCAAGGUCAAGGUCACGCUUAGAAGUCAAAGAAGUCAAAGGUUAACAGGGUCUGUUUUGUGUCCGAUUAAUAACUCUGCCAUUCAUCAAGGGAUUUUGAAAUUACUAGGCAUAAAUGUUUACCAUAAUGAGGCAAUGUGUCACGCGCAAGACCCAGAUCCAUAGCUCCAAGGUCAAGGUCACACUUAGAAGUCAAAGGUUAACAGGAUCUGUUUCGUGUCUGAUUCAUAACUCUGCCAUUCAUCAAGGGAUUUUGAAAUUACUUGGCAUAAAUGUUCACCAUAAUGAGACGACGUGUCAGGCGCAAGAUCCAGACCCCUAGCUCUAAGGUCAAGGUCACACUUAGAGUUUAAAGGUUAACAUGGUCUGUUUCUUGUCCUGUCGAUAACUCUGCCACCGAUGAAGGGAUUUUGAAAUUACUUGGCAUAAGUGUUCCAUAUAAUGAGAUGACGUGUCAUGCGCAAGACCCCGGCCACUAGUUCCAAGGUCAAUGUCACACUUAGAAGUCAAAGGUUAACAUGGCCUGUUUCUUGUCUGGUCCAAGGUUAACAUGGUCUGUUUCUUGUCUGGUCCAUAACUCUGCCAUUUAUCAAGGAAUUUGAAAAUAAUUUGACACAAAUGUUAACCAUAUGGAGAAGGCGUGUUGCGCUUAUGACCCCAGUCUCUCAGGUCAAGAUCAAUGUCACAAAGUGAUUCAUACCUAAACUAUCGUUACAUAUUUUGCGCAGACAACUGUAGCAUUCUUGGGCACGCUCCGGGGGAAUUUGUCACUAACAGUGACAGCUCUUGUUUAAAUUUUAUUUCCUAGAAAUUGUUUCAUUUACUAUACUAAAAUGUAACAAAAAUUGCACAUUUUUAUCAUAACUUUUUUGCACUGACUAAAGCACUGUGCACCGGCCUUUUAGGUUUUUACCUGCUUACUGGUAGUAAACAUUUUCAUUCGAUUACCUAGAGUUGCAUUCGAUUACCUAGAAUUUUCCGAUACCAUCCAAAACUGUUCAACUUCAUAUUUAAUCCCUAAGGAGAAUCAGUAAGAAUAGAUCGGCAACUGCGCAAAGGGUACCGGUUAUGAAAAAGGGUAAACAAAACACUAUUUUGAAAUACUGGUUCUGUACAGUAUUUCACAUUGAUACAGAAAUAGUACAAAAAAGUAUCAUACAAAUGAGCUAAUGCAAUACUUAUAAAGCAUCAAUAAAAUACAACAACAAGGCAUCAGAAAGAGGUGUAAUAUAAACUAAUGCCGUACUUCUAGAAAUUAAAUGCACAUUCUAUACUAUUCAAUAAAAUACUAUUACUGUAUCGAAAUGAAUAAAUGGUGUAUUUUUAGAAGGCCAUAAUUGUAUGAUAAAAUGUUGAUUUAGCUAGAAUUUAUUAUUAUAUAUUUUUAUUAUAGUAAUUUUGUGAUAGUAAUAAUACAUUAAUAUAUGUUAAUUAUUUACUUUAAUAUUGUUCUAUUGGUCUAUAGGUUCUGUUGCAGUUUUUUAUGGACUUAUAUAUAUAACUCAAAUAAUGAGCAAAACUUUGACGUUAUAAUGUCAUGUUAACUAACGUCAUGACGUCAUGCAUAUGUUUUUAUACAUUGUAUGUUUGCCUCAAGAAGUAUUUUUAUACGAAACGCGUUGCAAACUUGAGUUGUCUUCUUUCUUUGACCAUUUUAACUAGUAUUUGUUACAAUUCUAGCCUAAAUAUAUAGGGGAAAGAUAAACAGUACCUUACCAACUUCUCUAAAACAGAACGAGAUCUGUAACUAUUAGAUCUACAUAAAAACAGAAAAUUUCAAAAAUACAUGUAUGUACUUUUGUGACAAGUUUUUAUUACCAGUCUAGUGGCUUGUCUAGUUGCUACAUUACGUUAUGAGAAAAUCAAAACUUUAAUAUGUUGGUAAUUGUCAGCCUUAGAAAGAAAAUCACAAUUUUGCAGGAAUGAUCAGUUUCUGGGACAUCUUCUGAGAAGAAUUCAGAUGAAUUUCAGACUAUUUACUGUUUAUUAACGUCAUACAUGUUCCAGACAAAUACAAACGUAAACUGAAUAGAAAAAGUAGCUCUGUUCUUCUUCUUAUUGUUUACACGUUAUAAAAUAGACCUGACUGUGAAUACAUAAAAAUGUCUUGUACGACAUCAAAUGCUCGACUUUUCGUAUUGUUGUCCGAGUAGCAGGAAUAUCACCUUAAAUUUUAAAAUAUCUAUAGAGUAUUAAUUCAGUAUCUGCAUUUGUUUUGGUGAAAGUAACUUGCAUGCAACUUGCAACUUUAACUAGAAGUUAUUAAGUUCAAAAGGGGACACAAAUUCAAAAUACAAAAUACAU